AAGUCGUAACAAGGUUUCCGUAGGUGAACCUGCGGAAGGAUCAUUAAUGAGAUAGGGUCCUUCGGGGCCCGACCUCCAACCCCGUAUCUACCUUACCACUGUUGCCUGGCGGGACGCCGACGCCCCCCUUACAAAGGGCACGCCGGGCCGACGGCUUUGGCCCUCGAGCGCCCGUCGGUGGACUAUUUGAAAACCCAUCUAAUGAAGCCUUCUGAGAGUUAAUUUAUAACUAAAUACUUCAAAA
rnacentral:misc_RNA from 1 species